CGGACCUCAGAUCAGGCAAGACCACCCGCUGAGUUUAAGCAUAUCACUAAGCGGAGGAAAAGAAACU
rnacentral:rRNA from 2 species